rnacentral:lncRNA from 1 species
GUGAACGUGACUGCGGCUGCGAAUGCGAAUUUAAUUUUGAGUACAUAUAUCUUUUGAAUUGGAAAGGAUAGAAGUGUGAAAUUUACAGGUUUCGUUCCAUUUACCAACUACUCUAGAUGAUAAAAAUUUCAGGUUCUUGAGCAACUCCAACACAAAGAUGUGGAGGUGUCAAAAAUACCCUGAGUUCCUCAAGAAAAGGAUAGUACGACUGUGCUUGCUCGACUUGGUGGGGGCACGACAGUGCCCCCAGAUGGUGAGGUUGAAAUUUUUGAAACAACUCCAAAGUAAACCAGGGACUAUCUGUAUAUCAGAAAUAUCAAUAUAUGGAUUAUUAUAUACCUGUUUAAUAUUAAUUGAUUAUACAUAUAAUAAUAGCUGUUGUGUGUAUUUGCUAAAAAAGAUAAUCU